UUUAAUGUUUAAACUUAUUAUAAAGAAUUGAGAUGUGUUUUAAAAAAAUUGAAGUUUUAAGUGUAUUUGUUUUGUUAAUAUUGUUAAUUUUGUUUAGUGUUUAAGAUUGUAUAAUUACUAGAUUUUAACCCGCGGUAUACCGCGGGAAUAAUUUAUUUUUUAAAGUUAGUAUAUAUAAAAGUUUAUAAAUUGUAUCUAUCUAUAAAAUAAUUUUAUUUUA
rnacentral:sRNA from 1 species